UGAGCUGUAGCUCAGUUUUAUAGCACAUGUUUUGCAUGCAGAAGGUCUCAGGUUCAAUUUCUGAUAGCUCAA